GACGAACGCUGGCGGCGUGCUUAACACAUGCAAGUCGAACGGAAAGGCCCUGCUUUUGUGGGGUGCUCGAGUGGCGAACGGGUGAGUAACACGUGAGUAACCUGCCCUUGACUUUGGGAUAACUUCAGGAAACUGGGGCUAAUACCGGCUAGGAGCUCCUGCUGCAUGGUGGGGGUUGGAAAGUUUCGGCGGUUGGGGAUGGACUCGCGGCUUAUCAGCUUGUUGGUGGGGUAGUGGCUUACCAAGGCUUUGACGGGUAGCCGGCCUGAGAGGGUGACCGGCCACAUUGGGACUGAGAUACGGCCCAGACUCCUACGGGAGGCAGCAGUGGGGAAUAUUGCACAAUGGGCGGAAGCCUGAUGCAGCAACGCCGCGUGCGGGAUGACGGCCUUCGGGUUGUAAACCGCUUUCGCCUGUGACGAAGCGUGGGUGACGGUAAUGGGUAAAGAAGCACCGGCUAACUACGUG
rnacentral:rRNA from 1 species